GACGAACGCUGGCGGCGUGCUUAACACAUGCAAGUCGAACGGACGAGUGAGAUAAGUUUACUUAACUCACAAGUUAGUGGCGGACGGGUGAGUAACACGUGGAUAAUCUACCUGCAACACCGGGAUAACGCUGUGAAAACGGUGCUAAUACCGGAUACGUUCCCUUGUGCGCAUGUAUGAGGGAAGAAAGCUCAGGCGGUUGCAGAUGAGUCCGCGGCUGAUUAGCUAGUUGGUGAGGUAAAGGCUCACCAAGGCGAUGAUCAGUAGCCGGCCUGAGAGGGUGAACGGCCCGAGGGGCACUGAGAUACGGGUCCCACUCCUACGGGAGGCAGCAGGCUAGAAAUUUGGGCAAUGGGGGAAACCCUGACCCAGUGACGCCGCGUGCAGGAAGGAGCCCUUCGGGGUGUAAACUGCUGUCGUGUAGGGAGAAGGGUACUAAGGUGAACAAUCUUAGUACUUGACGGUACUACAGGAGGAAGCCCAGGCUAACCUCGUGCCAGCAGCCGAC
rnacentral:rRNA from 1 species